rnacentral:rRNA from 1 species
UACGAAGGGGGCUAGCGUUGCUCGGAAUCACUGGGCGUAAAGCGCACGUAGGCGGUUUCUUAAGUCAGGGGUGAAAUCCUGGAGCUCAACUCCAGAACUGCCUUUGAUACUGGGAGUACUUCGAGUCCGGGAGAGGUGAGUGGAACUGCGAGUGUAGAGGUGAAAUUCGUAGAUAUUCGCAAGAACACCAGUGGCGAAGGCGGCUCACUGGCCCGGUACUGACGCUGAGGUGCGAAAGCG